rnacentral:lncRNA from 1 species
GACUCUUGAGUUUACUAAUCUCAGUUGGCAGUUCUGUAAUAUAACUGUCUGUUAUGUUCAAAGUAUGCAAGCCUUGUAAUUUCCCUAUGGAUCUAGGUAGUUUGUAAAUAUGUGAAUAUCCUUGAGGAUAAGAAAAAUUCAGAUACUUCAAGUGACGAAACAAUCCUAUGUUGCUGAUAUCCUUUUGUGUCACUUCAAACUGUGCGUUCUCUAGAUCCAAGGCUCGGAGCAUUCUCAUGUCAGGUGAACAAAUUGAAGAUGAUGGCUCCAUGGAUCUCUCACCAAACAUGGUUAAUGAACGAACAUGGCUACAAUCCACGCCUAAUUUUGGGCACUUACUACCAUGGUAUGCUACAUGACGGAAGUUCCCCUCUGCUAUAGUAGUUGCAUUAUCUCCUGCCAAGUACAGAAAAUUUUCUUCCCUGGAUAUCGAGACCAUCACAUCACGCAUGAUAUCAUGGACUCGGCAACUCUUAAUAUGUCCUUCUAUGCUCACUUUUGAGGGCUGAAUCAUGCUUCGGUUGAUUAGCUCGGUGAAAUAACUUAUUCCAACAUCUUUGAUGUUUACUCCACCUCUGGCUCUAACAAACCCCUCUGUUAUCCAUCUAUCUACCAAACGCCUCCUUUUGAUUUCAAAAUCCUCAGGAAAGAUGCUUAGAUACAGAAAGCAUGACUUGAGAUGAGACGGCAAGCUAUUGUAGCUUAGAGUAACUAUCCUCCUCAUUGCUUCUAGGCUAGGGUUGCUCUCAAGCUCUGAUGGGAUUUGUGUAUAGAUACUUUCCCACUCUGUUGCCUUUUUGUUGCCAAGCAUGCCUCCUAUAGUGAGUAUAGCCAGCGGUAGACCACCACACUUCUUUACAAUUUUGUUGACCACUGCCAUCAUUUUCUUAUCAUUUUUCAUGUCUUCCCGUGUUUUGCCACUCUUUCUUAGUAGCAAAUUUGUGGCAUCCUCUAUUUGUAGGUGCUUAAGGUGGUAGAUAAGUGAUUCUGAAGUGCACUGCGCAGCCAAGCCCACAUCUCGUGUUGUUACUAUUAUUCGGCUACCUUUAUUGUUUCUAAUAGGAAAAGCAAUAUAUUUGAUCCAAUUCCAGGCAUCUAUGGUCCACACAUCAUCAAGAACAAUAAGGUAUUUCUUGUCCUCUAGCUUUUCUCUGAGGUAGUUGGCGAGAUGCUCUACUUGCAUUGCCUUCUGUUCAAGUUCUUUCAAGCAUUUCCUCAGUGACUCGGUACCCAAAAGUUGACUUAUCAUCUCCUUGAGCAUCUCUAUCUUCGAAAAUGACUGUGAGACUGUGACCCAAGCACAACAAGCAAAUUUAUUCACAAUAUCUUCCUUGCUAUCAUAUGCCUUCCUUGCUAGAGUAGUCUUGCCUAAACCGCCCAUGCCAACGACACAUAUCACCUUCGAAAGACCAUCUCUGGAGUUAACAUCCACCAUCUUAAUCAACUCCUCUUUAGGGUUAACAAAGCCCACAAGCUCUGCCUCAUCAAUGUUACCAGCUGAGUGGCUACGAACAUCUUCCAUGCUGGCAUUCACCUCGUCAAUGUUGCUGGAGGCAUCAGCGUUGAUCAAGUUAUAGCGUGCAUUCCUAUUGCUCACUUCUUCAACUCUUGCUUUGAGAUCACGGAUUUGGCUGGCAAUCCGAUGCCGAUCGUUCAGCUUAAGCAGCCGUCGAGAACGGCUCUGGCUUCCCACAUGCACCAUAAAUUCAUCAAGACAAUCCUCAAUACCAUAUGCUAGAUCUCUUACUUGCUCUGCCCACACCUUCAGUAGCAUGUUUUUCUUCUUUGUUUUCUCAUCAGCCACGAGGAAUGCUUGCAUCGUCUUGAGCUCGUCUUUUAUGAACCUAGUCAACAAGGUUUCUUAGAACAAAUCAGCUUACUGCCAUUUUACCGCUCACAAAUAGGAGGGAACAACUCCCAUUUCGAUUGAAAAACAACAAUAUUUUUGAGAUGUAUAUAUACAGCUAGGUACGUGGGCUAAAAGAAGCAUCCAGUCAUUUUGUUGUAAAAAUAAAAUAAGCUAGCUGUCCAUCGGCCUAUAUGUGAGCGGUACAUACCAGAUCAUCGACUAGUAAAAACAAAAUCGACCUGACAAAAGGAACACCGGCCGGACGAGAAUUCAGAAGUACAUACCAGAUGUCCUUGCGGACGCCUAUGAGGAGGCUCAUCUCGGUGGCCGCGGCAGAGGCGGCCAUGGUGAUGGCGCCCCCCAGCAUGGAUCUCGCCAUGCUCACCACCGUGUCCGCCAUCUCUAGCUCUUUCCGUCCGCCCUUCCUUCCUUUCACGACUCUCAAGUGCUACAAGGCCGGCCGGCGUGGGUGUUGGUAGCUUUGGUAGGAUGCUGUGUGCGCUCAGGCUGCUUACUUUGGAGAAUAGCUAGGUUGGUGGCCGACAUGACACGGUAACCUAAAGAUGCAAAGCAAAAAGAGGCACGGAUGACACCUAGUUUGCUCUACCUGUUUGUACACGCAAUUAAAGAUGCAAAGAAGGAAGGAAGGAAAGUAGCCCUCGCCAGGGCAAUUUGCAUUUCGCAGAGAAGAAAGACAUGGCAAUGGCAUAGGGUAUAUCACCAAGGAAAGCAUCACUCAAGAAGCGUCUCCAAAGCAAAAAGUAUCGCAGAGGAGAACCUUUAGUUUGUACCAACUUUAAUAAAUUUGUGCAGAUCCAAAACUGAAUAGUACGCGUUUUUCACACGCAGAAUCUUAUUCGACGCUCACCUCAUUUGAUUUGUCAACGUUUCACACAGAGUGUGCGCUCAACUUAUUUUGUUCUCUUCUGGUUCAAGGAUGUGUUUCUCCGGGUUUUCUACCUUUUUCUCUUGUUCUCUUCAGUUUUUACUUUACAACUUUUCUUUCAUUUUGUGUCUUUUCAUUUUUCUCAUCUAGUUUUUGCUUUUGCUUUUACUUUUUUUCCUUUUUAUGUCAUUUUAUAAAUAUAGUUCUUGCAUACACAUGAAUAUUAUUUGAAUAUGUGAUGGCAUUUUUUUCUAAUACAUGACAAUCAUUUUUAAAUGAAUAUUGUUUUUCAAUACAUGAGGCACGAUGGCCACUUUUUUAAAAUACAUGAUGAGCAUUCUAUAAUAUGCAAUGAAAAUUUGUCAAAUGCAUUUAAAACACUGCAAUAUUUGUUUUAGUAAUUAAGUUUAUUUUGACAAUACUUAUUUAUACAUGCAUAUGUGAGUUUUUGUAAAAUAUUACAUACAUGGCAUAUUAUUGUAAAAAUGUUCAUGAAUUAACAACAUAUUUUUGUAAAAUGUUCAUGAAUUUUAUUUUAAAGGAUUUUAAAAUCUUUAAAGAAUUUAAAAAUAUAUAUUCACAAAAUUUAAAAAUGAUCAUGAACUACAAAAAUGUCCAUGCAUUUAAAAAAUAUGUGUGUAUUCAGAAAACCAAGGUCGGACUCCGCCUCCUCACCGUCGAGCAGACACAAUCAACGACGACUACGAAAUAGGGCGUGCGUCCAUGGCCUUGGAAAGCCGUGGGCGCAUGAGGUCUGCCCGCAGCAGCUGCCCUGCCUUACAACUCAACACAGUCUAAGUGAAGUGCUCGGUCUUUCUCUUGUUCAUGGUGCAGCUAUCCUGCUGCAGGAGGUUCCCACUUUUUCGUGUAGUGAUGAAGUGGACUUGUAGCUGCUGAUUUUCUUCACAAGUCUGAACCCCUAAUGGCACUUGGCUGAUGAGCAUGCAGUUAUAUAGUGGCAUGGUUACUGGACAGGGCCUGUACAUAGGGCGAUUUGAAAUUCUAAACUAUCAAAUCUCUGCAUAAGAGUGGUUCCGAAAAAUUCUCGAGCAUUUCAAUUGUUGCUCUUUUUUGUUCUUGUUGUUGGCAUACUGAUGAGGAUAAAGCUUGAGGGACACAUAAAUGAGCCCGGUGAUGCCUCGGGGAUGGGUCUGUAUAAGACCCGGUCUGUAUCUCAGUCAGUCUGCUGACUGCUGAGCUCAGCCUGUAGGGUCCCCGUAAUCUAAGAAACUGCCGACAGUCUGCAAACAUGGUCACUGACUAUGUAUGGAAAAUACUAGUAUUGCUCAUUCCGAAAUAAAACUGGGGAUGCCGGAUACCGUUUCGAGGCCUUUUUGUUGGCAAACUGUAAUUUGCAAAGCGAAACCAUUGAAAAUCGUACAGUUAAUACCAUAUGUAGCAGGGCAGCAGACGUAUUGUUUCAUCAACUCUAGACUCAAAUUUUGUGGAAAAUGGAAAACCACAUAUGCAAUCAUCAUUAUUUGUUUACAACCAAGCACAUACAUUGUGGUAACAAGAAAUGGAGAGCAAUAAACCAUCUCUAGGAAAACGGAAUACUAGAAAAUAGAGCAAGUCUGAUUUCGAAAUAGAAGGUCUUUUCAUCAGGUUGAACAUCUAUUCCAUUCCAUGGUGUUCCCCAAGAACCCAAUUUUCCAUCUGGGCCAACAGUUGCAACUUGCUGAGAUAUUAGAAUGGCGUCGCAGCUUGCUUCUCCACUUCGUUACAUUAAAGCCACAAGAUCACUGCACUCAUCUUCCAUCGCAGCUGCGAAAUGUCAGGAUCCCUCUCAGCUGCACCUUGCACCAUAUUAGAGGCUGCCAGCCAGCAGAGAGAAACUAGAUAGCUGAACUGGAUGGCCAAUUGCAGCUUAACAGUACAUAUAUGCAGCUUGAUUGGUACAAACAUCUUGUGUGGUGUGGUCCAUUGCAUUUUCCAAUGUUGUCUCUCCAGCUGAGAACAAAUAUAGGGCAUUAAUUAAUUAGUACAUAUCAUCAGCAGACGCAUGUUCGGCAUCUGAAAACGAGACCAGGAACUGUAUAUAUAUGGAAAAUCGAACACGCCAACAACGAACAGGAGCUGAAUUGACCAUUUAUGGUGUGAUUACAGUUCACAAUUUAGAACAUUCAGUUUCCUUUUCAAGCACUGGAUGGCUGAAAUGUUUUGUUCACUUCAGCUGCAGAGGCAUGCACCCUGCUCAGACCUCAUAUACCUGAGAGUUGCUUCAGCUCCUCCGUAAUAUCAAGAUUCCUGAAAUUUUGAAAUACUACCACAUUGAGAGCACUAAUUUCUCCCCAGCAUAUACAAUUAUAAACUGAAAUACAGAAAGAAAAGGAGGUUAGCCGGUGCUCACGGCCCACCUCUGGUACUUCCAUUGGACUAUACCUUCCUCCAGUUGGCUCCUUGCUAUUAUACAACCUUCAUCGGAAAAUCAAGUAAUGUGCCGCCAUAAGUCGCAUUAAUUGCAUUAUGAGCUUAGUCAUGCCAUGCUCCAGCUUGUCCCAGGUUGAGAAAUCCCAACUUCGUGUAAAGUGUGUCAACAAAAGGGGUGCUUCAAAUUAUAUAAGAGAUGAGGAGGUAGCCCAUAUCGUAAUGGUGAGAGUAUAUAAUAGAGCAAGCUGACCAUAUGAAAAAGAACUAGUUCUGUUUGGAGACGACAGGCAUCAACUUACAGUGCAGAUUGUAUGGCCUAUAAUUUGGGGUUUAUGUUUAAAGAACAGAAUGUUAUUUUCUUCUUUUGUACAAAAAACAGGGGAAAUAUAAGCUGAAAGGAAAUCUAAGAAAAAUCAGUCACCUGUAAGCUGCAGCCUUGGAAAUAUAUGCAGACGAUUUGGGUGCAGAAGCAUGGUGCUAUAAUUAGACUCCGAUGCCAUCAUAUAACAGCGCAGCUCAUCAUCGCUAUAAGAGACAAUAAAAAGAGAGAUGAAUCGAAACAUCUCAUCUGGUAGCUAGUAGCUAGUACCUACUGCUUGAACAAAAGAGAAAUCAACUUAUCAACAGCUCACCUGUCGUUUGUGGUCUGCAUUGCUGCAUCUUGUGAGCUCUCUCCCGCUGCAGGUCCCUAAACGGAUGACUCCUCUGUAGCUUCUAAUUGAACAGUGGAUCCUUCGCGGAGGUCCAGGUCACGGAAGAUUCGUUCAUAGUAAAGUUGCAGCACGGGAUGGUUGCGGUGUGCAUUGACUCCACCUUCCAGCACAACAAGCCUCGCAACUUUUCAGAAAUAACCGAUCCGCCAAUGGACUAGCACUGUGAGAAAUCAGAUGGAAAGGAACAAACAUAGGGAGGUUCCAUCUGUACGUACCAUGGAAGGCGUCGAACCUCCACUAUAUUGGUGCUUUUUUGUAAACGAAGAAGAAUCAUGUGAGGCAAAAUGUCAGGAUCAGAGGCCACCAGCAGUGAACAUGGAACCCUGAGCAUGACGGCCAAUGAAGGGGGCAUCAAAACAUCUACAUAUUGAUUGGUAGCAGCAUCUUAUGUGGUGUAGUCCAUUGCAUUUUUCCGCGGUUUUCUCCCCAGCUGAAAUGCAUUUAUAGAGCAUGAAUUAGUCUUAUUUCGUCAGCAAAUGUACUAUGUAUUCGCAAGCUUAAAGGUACAUCAGAUGUUGGUUGUAAGUACACAGAGAACAUGUUUGAGUGACCAAGUUACGCUGGCACUGAAUACUGAAGGAGGUUUUUCUUUCACAACCAAAUGGUACGCUAUUUUGGUCCGCUACGAAAUGGAUUAUAGGAAAUAUGAAAGCAAGCUCAAAGGAAAAGAAAGGCGGGAUGUCAUGAUAUAAAACAAACAAGGAAAGCUCACACUGCAAGAUAGUUCAGCAGGUCAAUAGUAAUGCAACUAGGUGCAGGUAAUUACAUUGAACUACAGUUUGGGAGAACCAAAUAACCAACUGCAUGCCGGUCAUCAAAUGUGCAUCGAUAAAAGAUAAUCGUGUUCAAGUUUAAAUUCAAGUAGCACGCACGUAAUCUCUUAGAGACGUUGAGACAAACAGUUGAUGUGCAUGGAAGUAAAUCUCACAAACAUCAUGAGAAACAAGACGAAUGGAGGUUUGAGCUGUACCAAGAUGGCGUCAGAAGUCUCAGGGGCAGCAAUCGGAAGACGCGGAAGAGACGCAAGCAAUGGGAACGUAAACGGAGGGCCAUGUCAUCCGUAGCAGCAAGAACCAAGGGGAAAUGAGUAACAAACACAUCCUGUUAGAGAGAUAAACGUUGUCAGAAACCCAAACUGAAUCGAGAGUGAAACAAAACGAGGGAGAGUCGAUCGAAGUUGAGAUUAGAUCGCAAGGCGGCGACCUGUGCGAUGCGAGACUCCAAGGCGAGCCUGCUGCAGGAUUUAAUCGAGGUGAGCGAAGAAUCGAAUAAUGGAACCGGGAAGCUAUCCAUCGUCCACUCGUAGUGAAGUAUACUCUUAUUUUUAGCGCAGAUCAUCUUCGCUGUUAAGAGCGGCGAAAACAUAAGAGAAGAGAAAUUAGCAUCAUCAGUUGAUAGCUACUGCUACUGAACGAAAGAGAAAAAUAGCCAGCUGACCUGUCGCUCCUCGUCGCUUCUUCCGCUUGCACUGCUGUAGUGGAACCUUCGGCGACAUCGCCUAGGUCAUGGAGGAUCCGGUCCAUCCCGAGUCGCAGAACAGGAUGGUUGGGGUGUGUGUCCACUUCACGUUGCAGCGCACCAAGCUUUGCCACUCGACCACUCCAAUGAAGUGAAAUCUCCUUGAGUCUUGGAAGGUGUUUGAUACCAGUAAUCCCCGAUGGCAAACUGCAGUAUCUGAUUUCUACCUUUUCUAACUGGGGCGAGGUGCCCACCUCAAAUAUCAACUCUCUCAGUUGCUUCAUGUCCGAAAUGUCAAGUCUCCUGAGACUAGGGAAUGUUUCUGCUCUGAAAAUCAGUUUCCCCCCAACAUAAGACUGCCAAGAGAGACCAAGUACCAUGAGCUUGGUCAGUGCGCCUAGUAAUUCCAUGCUUUUGUCACCAUCCUUCAGAUUGCUCGACUUUAACUGAAUCUUCACCAAAUUUACCAGAUCCCCAAACCAGUCAGGCAUCUCCCCAAGAUCUCCAUCCAAAGUCAGCUUCCUCAGGAGAGGGGGAGGGGAGGAAAUAGAUUGCAACCACUUGAGUGAUGCACCACUUCUCCCAGAUGUACUAUCAUCCGCACAAAGGCAAAGAGAGCGGAGGGAAGUGAGCUUCUCAAGGGAUGUACAGAGUAUCUUGCUCUUUUGCUUGCAUGCCCCUACAUCGACACUUAACUUCCUUAGCUUUAUAAGCUCCCCGAGCUCUUUAACUGCUUUCCUACUUGUCCGUUCAAUAUCCACAAUCUCUAGUAUCUCUAACUCCUUUAGGUUGCUGAUCCCUUUGGGCAACCUCACACCUUGAGAGUUGGACAAACGAGCAGUCCAGGCCAAGUGAAUGCGCACCAUAAGGCCUGGACGCUCAUCCAUAUUAACUAAUGGAGUCAACAAAAUAGGCAUACAUAAUGUUGACAUGAACCAGAUCAUGGGGUAAAGUAAGCAUAAAUAUUCCUCGGCCCUCCUGUUGCUGCAUCGAAGGCUACGAAGGCUUUGUAGUUUAGUGACCUCAGUUGGUAGCGAUGUCACAUAACUUUGUCCUAUGUCCAAAGUCUCUAAGGCUUGUAGUUUUCCUAUUGAUCGUGGGAGCUUGUAAAUAUAAGUUAGUUCAUGUGAAGACUCAACAUGGACAUAUUUCAAAUGACGCAACGACCCUAUGGUGUUGAUGUCUUUUUGUGCAAAACAUGCAUCAUGUAUAUCCAAGACUCUAAGCAUCCUAAAGUCAGGUGAACAAAGUGAAGGUGCUGGAUUCAUGUGUCUGUCACCAAACACAGUCAAUGAUCGGACAUGGUUCCAGUCCAAGCCUUUAUUUGGGCACAAACUACCUUGGUAUGCUACAUGGCGGAAGUUAUUUCCUAUUGUGCCGAUUACAUUAUCCCACGUUGAGCAUGCAAAAUUUUCGUCUCUAGAAAUUGAGACUAUGACAUCGCGAACGAUAUCAUGAACUCGACAUCUCUUCACAGUUCCUUCUAUGUUCACUUUUGAUCGUUGAAUCAUGCUUCGGUUGGCUAGUUCAUUAAAAUAACUAUUCCCAACAUCCUCAGAACUCCAGCCAACCCUAGCGACAACAAACCCCUCAGCUAUCCAUCUUUCUACCAGACGCCUUCUUUUGAUUUCAAAAUCCUCGGGAAAUAUACUUAAAUAGAGGAAACAUGACUUAAGAUGAGAAGGCAAGUGGUUGUAACUAAGGGUAACCAUUGUCCUCAUUACUUCAAGGCCGCCGUUGCUCUCUAUCUCUGAGGGGAGUUGAUUAUAAAUACUUUGCCACUCACUGACCACUCUGGUGGCAAGCAUGCUUCCUAUUGCGAGUAUUGCUAGAGGUAACCGUCCAGACUUCUUUACUAUCUUAAUGACUAUUUUCCUCAUAUGCUCGUCAUUUUUCAUGUCUUCCAAACUUUUCCUUGUCCUCCUUAGUAGCAAAUUUAUUGCAUCAUUUGCUUCUAGGGGUACAUGGUGGUAGAUAUGUGAUCCAAAAGAUUCAAAAAUGCACCUCUCAGCUAAGCCAACAUCUCGUGUUGUUAACAUAAUCCGGCUACCUCUGUUAUUACUACUUGGUAAAGCAAUAGUUUUGAUCCACUUCCAAUCAUCUAUACUCCAUAAGUCAUCAAAAACAACAAAAUACCUCUUCUCAAGUAGUUCUUUCCUGAGGUAGUCGGCGAGAUCCUCUUCUCGCACCACCUUCUUGUUAAGUAGAUGCUUCGAUGCUUUUUCAUCAAUAAGUUGUUUGAUCAUAUCUGUGAGAACCUUCAUCCUGGAAAAUGACUGCGAGAUAUUGAUCCAAGCACAAUAAUAUGUAUUUUUUAUACGUUCAUAAACCCUCUUUGUAAGAGCAGUCUUACCCAGACCACCCAUGCCAACCACGCAUACUACCCGAGCAGGGCCAUUGUGAGCAUGGUUAUUUAAAAGCUUCAUCAGCUUUUCUUCGGGCUCGUCUAACCCUACAUGUUCAGAAUUAUCAAUGUUGCUAGCUGAUUGUUUGCGAAUACCUUCCAUGCAAGAAUUACUCUCAUCAAUAGCUCUACUUAUUUUAUUCAUCUCAAUUAGGUUGUAGCGGAUGUUCCUGUUGCUCACUUCUUCAACUCUUGAUUUUAGAUCACGGAUCUGCAUGGCAAUUCGAUGGCGGUCUUUGAGCUCUAUAAGCUUCCGCGACAAGCUUUGACUUGCUACAUGCACCAUAAAUUCACCAAGGCAAUCUUCAAUAUUGUAGGACAGGUCCCUUACUUGCUUUGCCCACACCUUCAGUAACUUGUCUCUCUCCUUCAUUGCUUCAGCAGUCUCCAGGAAAGCAUGCAUCGUCUCUAGCUCAUCUUUGAUGAACCUGCCAAAAGGCCCACAAAAGAACUUAGAACAAAAAUUGGUGACCUUGAUAUAGGAUGUAAUGUGUACGAACAUAUGACGGAAUUUGAACCUUCCUGAACAAAUUUUGCCCGGGCCACUAUGAAAGUUUUGUAGUGCAAACAAUUUAAGUAAAACUAUUGGUCAUGUUUCAAGCAUUCAUAGACAUAACCAAUUUCNNNNNNNNNNNNNNNNNNNNNNNNNNNNNNNNNNNNNNNNNNNNNNNNNNNNNNNNNNNNNNNNNNNNNNNNNNNNNNNNNNNNNNNNNNNNNNNNNNNNNNNNNNNNNNNNNNNNNNNNNNNNNNNNNNNNNNNNNNNNNNNNNNNNNNNNNNNNNNNNNNNNNNNNNNNNNNNNNNNNNNNNNNNNNNNNNNNNNNNNNNNNNNNNNNNNNNNNNNNNNNNNNNNNNNNNNNNNNNNNNNNNNNNNNNNNNNNNNNNNNNNNNNNNNNNNNNNNNNNNNNNNNNNNNNNNNNNNNNNNNNNNNNNNNNNNNNNNNNNNNNNNNNNNNNNNNNNNNNNNNNNNNNNNNNNNNNNNNNNNNNNNNNNNNNNNNNNNNNNNNNNNNNNNNNNNNNNNNNNNNNNNNNGGGAGGGGUGAAAACAUGAAAAAAAACUGCUCCAAAUUACAAAAGACUGUAUAUUCGUGGCUGAAAUUGGAUUGGACCUAAGCUAGCCUAGGCGCCCUAGUGUUGCCUAACCGAUCGGCUUGAGUGCAAGAUCUUUACCUAUUGUAUCACUUUGCCUCAGUGUGCUUAGAUACAAUGUGCUAGUACCAAUUCCAUGGAUCGAUCUCGUCACUCAUAUCCAACUAAUGAACAGCCCCGUUCAGCUCACGUGAACAGCCACAUGCGAUCCUCAUCGCCGCCGGCAGCGGCCUGUAGGCUGGCUAUCUAGUGGCGGCAGGGCCUGUAGGCCGUCCCCCCUCCACUCCCACCCCCUCUCUCCAUGAUUCUAUUAUGGAGCCCGUUGGCAUCUCCGGCGUUCAUCCAGAUUGGGAUGGGUAGACCGAUGGUUGUCGACGUGACUGGAUGCUCGCUCUGUUGAUUUUCCUCCCGGCGGCAUCUCCUGCUUCCCAGCGUUCAGAUCUGAUCGGGCAAGCCGAUGGUCAUUGUGGUGGUUGUCUCGAUCUGGCGGCCAUGGACUGGGCGACACUGAUGGCUUGGGGCUUCGGCGUGGUGGAGCUCGAAGGCUCCAUGGUAGUGCUGCGGUGGUCGCGUCUGGGUGGAUGGCAGAUGGUACUGGUUGAUUUGCCAGAUCAGGCUUCUCGAUCUCCGGUGGCUGUAGCGGGAAGGGUGGUCACUCCGACUGCGGCGACGACACCUCUACGAAUUGUUGUGGCCACUGAAAGAUUUACAUGAGGUUUUCGCUCUUAAGAUCAGGUGAUUGUCUUAUGUGGUGUAAUGCAAUCUAUGAACGAUGGCUUGACGUAGAGGGUAUCAGUGUGCAACAAGGACACUUGGUUUUCCAUACCGGUGCAUGUAGCUGCUGGGGUCAUGGAAAAGUGUUGGCGACAACACUUGAUUGACAUCAACGAGCUAUGGGACAAAAACCUAGGUUUGACUCAUGUUGGUCAUACCCGGCAAUGGCGAUGUAUUUGCAUUGUCACCUUGUUGAAGGCAUUGCUCGGAUAUGCUUUGUCUGAUUCUUCAACUUGAAAGCCUAGAUUAUGGCCUUUGCUGGUUGGAUCCGGUGAUGGCGACCUCUCUUCAUGAAGGUGUUGCUAUUGAAAGACCUCUUUGGCUUUGUGGUGUCAUAAGAUGAUUGGUGGUGAUAUGGCCAUAGCUAUAGUUUGUCGAUCGUGGAUUUGAUCGCUUCGGUUUUCUUUCCUCGCUUAGGCAUAGUUUUGGUCUGAUUUGACUAUUGCCAGCAUGUUUUAUGUAUGUGUGCAUUAGUAUUGGUUGUGUGCACUUUAUUUGUACGGAGGCUAGGUGUGUGCUUAUUGUGUUUAUAUCCUCUUGAUGCUUCAUUUUCAGUGAAUAAAAUCCAUACUUUAUCGAAAAAUCCAAUUAGUGAAAGAUGUAAUGAUGAAACUAUAGGAGAAGAAAAAGUGUUGGUUUUGAUUGCCAAUCUUGGGUUGUCACCUUUUGAAAGAGAGAAUAACUUGCUGAUGGAGUGCAGCUAGUAGAAUAGAGUUCAUCACAACAUUGAACUCUUCUCAUAAAAUUAAAAAAUGGCCUGAACACAAGAAGCGCGGAGAAGUUAGUAAUUGCGAACAUAGUUACCAGAUAUCCUUGCGCACGCCCAUGAGGAGACUCAUCUCGGCAGCAGCGGCAGAUGCGGCUGUGCUGAUGGCGCCUCCCAGCAUGGACCUUGCCAUGCUCAGCACCGUCCCCGCCAUCUCCGGCUAAUUCCUCUUCUUGCUCCUGCUCAAGUUGGAACAGUUGCUUGCAGUUAGCUGCCUCACAAGCCCUGGUAGGAGUGGGCUCUACUUAUAGCAGCUGAUUGAUUGACUGAGCCCUGGCUGUGAACCAAGUCGUGUGAAUGAUACAAACGUCCUUAUCCCAGUGCAGUUAAUGCGCUUGGAAUUCUCGCAAGAAAAGACGAACAAAAUUUCGAGCUUGGACAUCAACUCACGAGAUGUGUGUUUCCAGUGCGUUUGGUUGUUCCUUGUGAAAUUUUGUUUUCAAAUUAUAUCAUGGAAUUAUUAUGGCCCUUGUUUUCCUUGCUGACCAGACCAAAGGGAGCCAAGCAAAUUACCUUGACUUGGCGGCCAAACGACAAUAAUUGUAUUUUGGAAAUUAAACAGCAAAAAUAAAUAUAGAUAUUUUGGAAGCAACAAACCCAGAAUAGUCUGCUCCAAGAAGAAAAAAACAGUGCAGCGAGUACAACAAACAAAGGAAUCCUGCACUGACAAUUGCAUGCCUUCACAACAGGUUGAUUGAACAUCCAUACCUUGUUGUUUUAGAAGAAUCUAUCAUCCUCUGCAGUCAUCGGCUCAGUUACAUUGAAGCCCCCAAGUCAUUUGCAGUCAUGAACGACCACCACUACAAGAAAAAUGUAGUUUGGCGAGUGUCGAGUGGUUUGCCGGGUGCAUUUCAUCAGCCACUCGACAAAACAAGCCUUUGCUUCCGGACAAAAUAAUUGAUACAAAAAGGAACUCGAUAAACGAUAUAAACAUGAGUUUUACCAGCAUACAAAAAUCACUCAGCAAAGCAUCUUCAAAAGACAGAGCCACCAGAUUUUAAGAUUGAUGUAACCAUAAUUUGAAGCUUACAAUACCGCUGAGUAUGCUACUUCAUUAGAUGUGGGGCGCCACACAUGGCUUUAGUAUCCCAUGUGAUUCUAUCUGAAUACGUGUAAACAUUUUGGUUGAUUUAGAAAGCAUAGCGGUAUUGCCUAAAAAUUAGUCAAGACCUUGGAGAACUAGCGAUGGUUAUACACAUUCUAGAUAUUGGUUAAGAUAGAUCAUUGUUUCUUGUGAAAUAUGUCUAUGUGCUUGUUGAGGAUGUCUAUAUAAACAAGAUAAAACUCUGUCCAAAUCACUAAUUAUUCCAAGGGUAAUAGUUUUACGGUAGUGUGGUGGCACCGUCAGGUUUGGUUGAAAUUUGAGGUGUUAGAGCAUCUACAACCGGAUCUCUCAAACCCGCCUCAUACGCCCGGGUGGGCCGACCGGUAACUGUCCGAUCACGAUUUUUUACCCAGACGGACCUCUCAAAUGACCCACAAAUGUCCGGGCUGACCGGCACCCCCCAUAUCCAGCCCAAACAUGGGGCGGAUAUGGGGGCACUCGGGCGUAUCCAAUGCAGUUAAUGCGCAUGGAAUUCUCGCAAAAAAAGACGAAGAAAAGUUUGAGCAUGGACAGCUAUAUGGGCGCCAUGUGCGUUUGGUUCCUAGUGACAUUUUGUUUCGAAAUUCUUUCAAGGAAUUAUUGUGGCCUUUGUUUUCCUUGUGAAAUAUCCGAGCAUCUUCCCGUGUGGAAUAGACCAAGGGGAGCCAGGCAAAUCAUCUUGACUUGACUUUGGGGGGGCCCAAACAAUGUAAUGGUAUUUUGGAAAUUAUACGGCAAAAAUAAAUACAGAUAUUUUAGGAGCAGAAAAACGAGAAUAGUCUUCUCCAGAAAAGAAAAAUUAAAGAAAAGACAAAAGAAAAAGAAAGAAAAAAGAGAGCAGGGUGUACAGCAAAAAAAGGAAGUCUGUACUGACAACUGCACGCCUCUGCUAUAGAAAAAGCAGUGAUUGGUUGAUCAUAUAUUCCAUGAUGUUGUUUUCAGAGAAAUGAUCUUCAUCUGCAGGUUUGCUCCCUUGCCUCUGCUAAAUUGAAGCCCCCAAGUCACUUGCAGUCAUAUAAUUUUGUAACAACAGUCCGUGAGAAGAUAUUGUCAGGGACAAAUUAAUGGCAUUGCGUGAUCACAAGGAUGCCAAGAGUACAGACCUGGCAUCACCCCAUACUGAAUAUCAACCAACUUGAUGUUGGAUCUAGUCCCGUUCUAUGAAAUAGAGUACAGACCUGGCAUCACCCCAUACUGACAAGAGAAAUGUGGAAACUGCAAGAUAAUUGCAAAGUAACACCAACGAAAACCACAUAGCUGAUAUUACAGGUGAAAAACAGAGCAUUCAUAUCUGGCUACAUUACAAGUUCCAUUGGCUUGCAUAGUAGCAUGUCUCCUCAUUCUUCAAUUACAAAUAAUUACAGAACAUAGUGGCAGCACAAAAUUGAUUAUCGUCAUAGUAGAAGCAGAUCAUGUGAUAAUAUGGUGAAGAGUGCAAGAUGAUGCAGCAAACUAAUUAAUGUUCCUGGGACUGGAAAGAUGUUGGAGUCCAAAGAAAAUACAGUUUAGUAUCAACUUGACCCAUUCCAUGGUGAAGAACUGAUCAUCGUCUGGAAAAUGGUACGAGACCCAUGAAGCAAGUGUCACUUUUGAACCUCGGUUGGUGGCGUCACAACCAUGGAAAUGAUGUUGUAGCUUGCUCCAACAUCGUAGGAACAUUUAAAGGUCAGGGGCGAAUCCUGCAUGAAAAACUGCACAGGUGUUAGUGUCAUCGUCACUGAAUUCUUUGUAUGCCUUCAACUUAUUAAACAGUCUAACACGCAGGUUAAAAAACAAUACCUACCAGAAAGUUCCGCACAUAGAGAACCCAGGUAAACCAUCUGGCCUCGCUUGCAGUGGUGACCAAUCUUAUAACUAUGGACAAUAGGAUGAACAUUGCAGCUUCGACGCUUAGUACUUAGUGGUGCAUCAUCUGUACUUUGUUGGAUCUUCCUCCUCUUCUGCCCAGCUGAAUCUGAUUAGAUUUUUUCGAUAAAGGGCUUUUCAUUGAAUUGAAAUAUCGAGUUGAUGAAUCUGAUUAGAUAGAAGAGCAUUAGUUUAUUUCGCACAUGUUAAUUAGAUGUCAAACUCUGUCACAUGGGGGAUGCUCAAGGAACUCUUGAUAUAAACAGGGGUGUAAAUUUAUGUGGCCAUAAGCUGAAAACUUUUAUCAGGAAUUGCAAGUACAGAGUAUGUGACAGUCUAACAUGAUGAUUACGACAGAAAUGAGAUGCUGGAUGUUGCUGAACUGACCUUUUUAUCAGUAUGAGCCCGUCACAGUUGACACUUUAGAUGUGCGUGGACUGUGAGGCAUUGCGAACUCGAUAGGGAUUCCUCAGCUUCCAGCUUCACCUGAGAUCACUACAUCACGGUCAGCUAAGUACUAGAUUCUUACUCCAUUCACAACAGGAUCUGAUUGGGAUGUUCACUCCAGCUUCAUAGCUCCUCAGUGCCCUGCUCAAAUCUCAUAGUUGCUCCAGCUUGAAUAGUAAAAAUUUCUCCUAGUUGUCCAGCUUGAACUGUAAAAAUACUUCAUAGUUGCUCCUGGACACCAAGAUUCGGAAUAAACAUUUGUUACAUAAUAUCAACCAUUCAAUUGCUGCUCCAGCUUGUCUUGGGUUGAAAAUAUCUAAUGUUUACAGUGCAAAAAAUUGUACUUAAUCGGAGCAUGUUAAAGAGCACUUGCAUACAGAAAACUGUAUCUGUUGGGCAACUAGUUGAAUUUAACAGGAAGAAGAAACUGAAACAUUCCAUAGAUACUAAUACUAAAACAUGCUGGAAAUAGAAUGCUAACGUUGCGGAGCUACUGAAUACGCUAACUCUGCUCUGAGAGACAAAAACGGUAAUAGACAUUUCACAAACCAGCAUACCAGAUGUAAUCAGACAAACAGAGGGAGAUGAUUCCUCCGUUGCUUGCUCCACUCGUACAGUAUUGGAUUGUUCCACUUCCACGUCGUCCACCAGGUCAUGGCGGGUCCAGUAGGCAGAUAUUCGCAGUAGCGAAUGGUUCGGGGUGCGCGCCCAUCUCACGUUGCAUGGAUUUUUGGAACGAAUUCAGCUGGUUAAACAGCCUAACACUGAUUUUUACAAGGAAAUACCACCGCGAUGUGAUGUUACGCCGUAUGGAGAAAGCAUCUGGCCUCUCUUGAAGUUGGGUCCCAUGCAUCUUGUAACUGUCCACAAUGGGACGAAUAAUUACUGCAGCUUGGUGGUGCUCCUGGGUGCCCAGCUGAAUCUGAAUGCACUACGUGGAGCACUAGUUUAUUUCGUCAAUCUGCAGCAGGAAGUCUUUGCUAAAAACAGGGGUACGUGUAUAUGAUAUGUGUUGACAAGCACAAACCGGAAAAGAACAAGAUAGCUAGAAAUAUUUGAGCUGUACCACUAUAGUGUUACAUGGUGGACCUGACAGGAGGCUUGCUCCAAUUCAGUCAGCACGAGUUGUAAUUGUAAAGCAGACCAUCUUGGCUGUUACACAUAAAAAGAAAACAAAUAGGAACACCGUAAGCGUACGGUAGUACAAAUUAAUUAGCACAUCUCACUCCGUAGUUACUACGUACUACUGGUUUAAGGAAACAGAAGCAAUUAGCUGACCUGACGUUUGUCGUCACCAUGGCCACCGCCUGGGACCGUGAGAGCUCUCCCGCAGCUGCAGAUUCCACGUCGUGGUAUCUUUUGGGCAUCUGCAGUCGCAGCACAGGACUGUUGGGGUGUGCGUCCACUUCACUUUGCAGCAUAGCAAGCUUCGCCACUCGACCAUAGGAACCAAGCGAGAUCUCCUUGAGCUUUGGAAGCUGGUUGACUCCAAUAAUUCCUGAUUCCAACGUGCACCCACUGAUUUCUAUCUUUUCCAACUCGGGCGAGGUGCCCUCCUCGAAUAUCAACUCUCUCAGUUGCUUCAGACCAUAAAUAUCCAGUUUUUUGAGAUUUGGCAACGUUCCCGUUUCAAACACCAACUUCUCCCCAAUAUAAGAGUCAUUUCCAAGACAAAUCUGCAUGAGGUUGGGAAGUGGCCCUAGUAUUUCCAUGAUUUUACAUUCUUCCUUUAUUAUGCUGCCCUCUAAGUAAAGCUUGACCAAAUGCAUCAUAUUGGCAAACCAGUCAGGAAUCUCUCCAAGGGGUCCAUCCAACUUCAGACUCCUCAACAGGGGAGGAGGAGAGGAAACGGCAUGCAGCCACUCCAGUGAACCAUCCACUUCAAGAGAGCGCAGGCAAGUGAGCUUCUGAAUGGCAUCACAGAGUACCUUGCAUUUCUGCUUGGUGGCCCCUUCUGUUACCACGCUCAGUUUUCUCAGCUGCACAAGCUCACCUAGCUCUUUAAUUGCCUUGCCACUGGUUCGGCUGAUGUCCACGACCUCUAGUAUUUGCAGCUCUUUCAGUUUGCCGAUUCCUUUUGGAACCCUAACACCUUCUGACUCAGACCGACGGCUAGCCCAGGCCAUGUGUAGCUCGGCAACUACCUUGGUACGCUCACUAGGAUCAACCAAAGGUGUGAACAGCAUGGGCAGACAAAGUGUUCGCACCAAGCAUGCCUUGGGGUCAUACACCAGGUCAAAGCAUUGAUAGGAAUUAUUUCUGGUACAAAGAGACUGUGUAGACUCUUGAGUUUACAAAUCUCAAUUGGCAGUUCUGUAAUAUAACUGUCUCUAAUGUUCAAAGUUUGCAGGCCUUGUAAUCUCCCUAUGGAUCUAGGAAGUUUAUAAAUAUGUGAAUAUCCUCGAGGAUCAGAAAAAUUCAGAUACUUCAAGUGGCGAAACAAUCCUAUGUUGCUGAUAUCCUUCUGUGUGACUUGAAACUGUGCAUUCU